CUGCACGAUGCUACCCCGGGCUUCUCUGAAGCUCAUGAUGAAGAAGAAAGCCCCAAAGCUUGUGCUAUACCGACGCUGUUAAGUGUUGCAGUUUAGCCCUUCUCCCACGGCUGAUCUGUGUCAAAUCAACCGCAAUAUUC